CAGACUUGGGCCCUUGAGGGAAAACACCCCUUCUCAUUCACUUCUGUGCCCACUGCAGCACACUGUGCCCGUAGCAUCACACCUGUGUAGAUUUUGACUAUGAGGUGCUGAGAAAGUCGCCUGACCCUUUCCUGCUAGAUCACAGUUUGCCAUUUGUACUGAGGGAGAAUGGAUUGAAUUUAAAGGAUUGAAUUUAAAGGAUUGAACUUUAAAAAAAAAUGAAGAGAGGACAUUUUCCAGCUAAAAGGUGCUAUGCCGGAGCGUUAAUGGUAGUUCUCUCUGGUGCGGUGGUCAGCAGUGUACUCAAUGAAUGAAUCAACAGGUGAGCCAGCUGGUGCUUGGAUCGGAAUAUUUGCCCAAGAAUCAGAAUCAGCUCUUCACUGGAACCUGAUGUUCUGGGUCAAUGGAGCCACAAACCUUUACUUCUCUGAGCCUUCAUAUCUAUGACAUUGGGAUGUUAUCCUCACUACUAGAUCAUUUGUCUGACCCAACACUCUUUGAGCUUUUCAGGUUAAAGUUGCUAUUAAAACACUCAGGAAAUUAACACUAACA